UGGAUUAGUGGCGAACGGGUGAGUAACACGUGAGUAACCUGCCCUCCACUUUGGGAUAACUCCGAGAAAUCGGGGCUAAUACUGGAUAUGACCUUGGCCCGCAUGGGUUGUGGUGGAAAGUUUUUCGGUGGGGGAUGGGCUCGCGGCCUAUCAGUUUGUUGGUGAGGUAGCGGCUCACCAAGGCGAUGACGGGUAGCCGGCCUGAGAGGGUGGACGGCCACAUUGGGACUGAGAUACGGCCCAG
rnacentral:rRNA from 1 species